rnacentral:rRNA from 1 species
UAAGGCCGAGAGCUGAUGACGAGUGUUCUUUUAGAACACGAAGUGGUUGAUGCCAUGCUUCCAAGAAAAGCUUCUAAGCUUCAGGUAACCAGGAACCGUACCCCAAACCGACACAGGUGGUUGGGUAGAGAAUACCAAGGCGCUUGAGAGAACUCGGGUGAAGGAACUAGGCAAAAUGGCACCGUAACUUCGGGAGAAGGUGCGCCGGUGAGGGUGAAGGACUUGCUCCGUAAGCCCAUGCCGGUCGAAGAUACCAGGCCGCUGCGACUGUUUAUUAAAAACACAGCACUCUGCAAACACGAAAGUGGACGUAUAGGGUGUGACGCCUGCCCGGUGCCGGAAGGUUAAUUGAUGGGGUUAGCUAACGCGAAGCUCUUGAUCGAAGCCCCGGUAAACGGCGGCCGUAACUAUAACGGUCCUAAGGUAGCGAAAUUCCUUGUCGGGUAAGUUCCGACCUGCACGAAUGGCGUAACGAUGGCGGCGCUGUCUCCACCCGAGACUCAGUGAAAUUGAAAUCGCUGUGAAGAUGCAGUGUAUCCGCGGCUAGACGGAAAGACCCCGUGAACCUUUACUAUAGCUUUGCACUGGACUUUGAAUUUGCUUGUGUAGGAUAGGUGGGAGGCUUUGAAGCGUGGACGCCAGUUCGCGUGGAGCCAUCCUUGAAAUACCACCCUGGCAACUUUGAGGUUCUAACUCAGGUCCGUUAUCCGGAUCGAGGACAGUGUAUGGUGGGUAGUUUGACUGGGGCGGUCUCCUCCUAAAGAGUAACGGAGGAGUACGAAGGUGCGCUCAGACCGGUCGGAAAUCGGUCGUAGAGUAUAAAGGCAAAAGCGCGCUUGACUGCGAGACAGACACGUCGAGCAGGUACGAAAGUAGGUCUUAGUGAUCCGGUGGUUCUGUAUGGAAGGGCCAUCGCUCAACGGAUAAAAGGUACUCCGGGGAUAACAGGCUGAUACCGCCCAAGAGUUCAUAUCGACGGCGGUGUUUGGCACCUCGAUGUCGGCUCAUCACAUCCUGGGGCUGAAGCCGGUCCCAAGGGUAUGGCUGUUCGCCAUUUAAAGUGGUACGCGAGCUGGGUUUAGAACGUCGUGAGACAGUUCGGUCCCUAUCUGCCGUGGACGUUUGAGAUUUGAGAGGGGCUGCUCCUAGUACGAGAGGACCGGAGUGGACGAACCUCUGGUGUUCCGGUUGUCACGCCAGUGGCAUUGCCGGGUAGCUAUGUUCGGAAAAGAUAACCGCUGAAAGCAUCUAAGCGGGAAACUUGCCUCAAGAUGAGAUCUCACUGGAACCUUGAGUUCCCUGAAGGGCCGUCGAAGACUACGACGUUGAUAGGUUGGGUGUGUAAGCGCUGUGAGGCGUUGAGCUAACCAAUACUAAUUGCCCGUGAGGCUUGACCAUAUAACACCCAAGCAAUU